CCUACGGGAGGCAGCAGUGGGGAAUAUUGCACAAUGGGGGAAACCCUGAUGCAGCGACGCCGCGUGAGUGAAGAAGUAUUUCGGUAUGUAAAGCUCUAUCAGCAGGGAAGAAAAUGACGGUACCUGAGUAAGAAGCCCCGGCUAACUACGUGCCAGCAGCCGCGGUAAUACGUAGGGGGCAAGCGUUAUCCGGAUUUCAUGGGUGUAAAGGGAGCGUAGACGGCGAAGAAAGUCUGAAGUGAAAGCCCGCGGCUUAACCGCGGAACUGCCUUGGAAACUUUUUUGCUGGAGUACCGGAGAGGUAAGCGGAAUUCCUAGUGUAGCGGUGAAAUGCGUAGAUAUUAGGAGGAACACCAGUGGCGAAGGCGGCUUACUGGACGGUAACUGACGUUGAGGCUCGAAAGCGUGGGGAGCAAACAGGAUUAGAUACCCGAGUAGUC
rnacentral:rRNA from 1 species